CCCUUAGAUGUUCUGGGCCGCACGCGCGCUACACUGAUUCAUGCAACAAGUUUUGUCCUUGGCUGAUAGGCCUGGGUAAUCUUUGAACGUGAAUCGUGAUGGGGAUAGAUGAUUGCAAUUAUUCAUCUUCAACGAGGAAUUCCUAGUAAACGCAAGUCAUCAGCUUGCAUUGAUUACGUCCCUACCCUUUGUACACACCGCCCGUCGCACCUACCGAUUGAAUGGUCCGGUGAAAUCUUCGGAUCUGAGAGAUGUCUGAUUAAUUUCGGACGCCUUUUGGAAAAGUUGUUUAAACCUUNCNAUUUAUNGGAAGGUGAANUCGUANCA
rnacentral:rRNA from 1 species